rnacentral:lncRNA from 1 species
CGGCUUCGGGCGGUGGGGUUUUAUGCCUGCGAAUUAGGCAAUCAAUUCCGCCCCCAGGCCCCCAGCUUUAAUUUGUUGGUGCCAGCAGACACUUUAUCCCGCCGGUUUUCCUCAGCGAGAGCUGUCAUCUGGGGCGCGGAUCGACGAAAAGAGUAAACCACGGACGGUAUCUCGGCCGAGGGCGAGCUGGGAAAGCAGAGCAAACGCAAAGCUCGCACGGUGGGAUUUGUGGACGUGCGGUGUAGCCUUUUUUGAACCCGCGCGCCAGGGGAUGGAACGGAUGGGAUGCGCCUGGGCUUAUUUGGC